GAUGAACGCUGGCGGCGUGCCUAAUACAUGCAAGUCGAGCGAACGGACGAGAAGCUUGCUUCUCUGAUGUUAGCGGCGGACGGGUGAGUAACACGUGGAUAACCUACCUAUAAGACUGGGAUAACUUCGGGAAACCGGAGCUAAUACCGGAUAAUAGUUUGAACCGCAUGGUUCAAAAGUGAAAGACGGUCUUGCUGACACUUAUAGAUGGAUCCGCGCUGCAUUAUCUAGUUGGUAAGGUAACGGCUUACCACGGCAACGAUGCAUAGCCGACCUGAGAGGGUGAGCGGACACACGGGAAGUGAGACAGGGUCGAGACUCCUACGGGAGGCAGCAGUAGGAAAUCUGGCGAAGUGGGCGAGAGCCUGACGGAGCAACGCCGCGUGAGUAAUGAAGGUCUUGGUCGCGUAAAUCUGUGUUAAUAGAGAAGAGCGUAUGUGAAUGUAACUGUCAACCUCUGGCCGGAACCUAAUAAGAAAGCCACGCUAACCUACUU
rnacentral:rRNA from 1 species